GAUGAACGCUGGCGGCAUGCCUAAUACAUGCAAGUCGAGCGGACAGACGAGGCGGUUUCUCCUCUUGCUGUAGCGGCGGGGGGGGGAGUGACAUGUCUGGGACCUACCUAUAAGGCGGGGGUUACUUACGGAAACCGGGACUAAAACCCGCAAAACUAUUGAACCGCAUGGUUCAGUAGCUAAAGACGGUUUUGCUUUCGCUUAUACCUGGUUCCAGACGGGAGUAGCUGGUAGGUGGGGUAACGUCUUACCUAGGCGACGAUGCCUAGCUGGCCUGAGAGGAUGACCAGCCACACUGGAACUGAGACACGGUCCAGACGCCUACGGGAGGCAGCAGUGGGGAAUAUUGCACAAUGGGCGCAAGCCUGAUGCAGCCAUGCCGCGUGUAUGAAGAAGGCCUUCGGGUUGUAAAGUACUUUCAGCGGGGAGGAAGGGAGUAAAGUUAAUACCUUUGCUCAUUGACGUUACCCGCAGAAGAAGCACCGGCUAACUCCGUG
rnacentral:rRNA from 1 species